GGAUAAGUGGCCGAGUGGUCUAUGGCAUGAUACUUGAGAUAUCAAACACCUUUACCGUGUCGCGAGUUCGAAUCCCGCCUUAUCUG
rnacentral:tRNA from 2 species